UGAGGAAUAUUGGACAAUGGGGGCAACCCUGAUCCAGCCAUGCCGCGUGAUUGAUGAAGGCCCUAGGGUUGUAAAGAUCUUUCAAUAGUGAAGAUAAUGACGGUAACUAUAGAAGAAGCUCCGGCUAACUCCGUGCCAGCAGCCGCGGUAAUACGGAGGGAGCUAGCGUUGUUCGGAAUUACUGGGCGUAAAGCGCGCGUAGGCGGGUUAUUAAGUCAGAGGUGAAAUCCCGGAGCUCAACUCCGGAACUGCCUUUGAUACUGGUAACCUAGAGGUCGAGAGAGGUGAGUGGAAUUCCAAGUGUAGAGGUGAAAUUCGUAGAUAUUUGGAGGAACACCAGUGGCGAAGGC
rnacentral:rRNA from 1 species